AUUGAACGCUGGCGGCAGGCCUAACACAUGCAAGUCGAGCGGUAGCACAGAGAGCUUGCUCUCGGGUGACGAGCGGCGGACGGGUGAGUAAUGUCUGGGAAACUGCCCGAUGGAGGGGGAUAACUACUGGAAACGGUAGCUAAUACCGCAUAACGUCGCAAGACCAAAGAGGGGGACCUUCGGGCCUCUUGCCAUCGGAUGUGCCCAGAUGGGACUAGCUAGUAGGUGGGGUAACGGCUCACCUAGGCGACGAUCCCUAGCUGGUCUGAGAGGAUGACCCGCCACACUGGAACUGAGACACGGUCCAGACUCCUACGGGAGGCAGCAGUGGGGAAUAUUGCACAGUGGGCGCAAGCCUGAUGCAGCCAUGCCGCGUGUAUGAAGAAGGCCUUCGGGUUGUAAAGUACUUUCAGCGGGGAGGAAGGUGUUGAGGUUAAUAACCUCAGCAAUUGACGUUACCCGCAGAAGAAGCACCGGCUAACUCCGUGCCAGCAGCCGCAGUAA
rnacentral:rRNA from 1 species